rnacentral:rRNA from 1 species
GACGAACGCUGGCGGCGUGCCUAAUACAUGCAAGUUGAGCGAUGAAGAUUGGUGCUUGCACCAAUUUGAAGAGCAGCGAACGGGUGAGUAACGCGUGGGGAAUCUGCCUUUGAGCGGGGGACAACAUUUGGAAACGAAUGCUAAUACCGCAUAACAACUUUAAACAUAAGUUUUAAGUUUGAAAGAUGCAAUUGCAUCACUCAAAGAUGAUCCCGCGUUGUAUUAGCUAGUUGGUGAGGUAAAGGCUCACCAAGGCGAUGAUACAUAGCCGGCCUGAGAGGGUGAUCGGCCACAUUGGGACUGAGACACGGCCCAAACUCCUACGGGAGGCAGCAGUAGGGAAUCUUCGGCAAUGGACGAAAGUCUGACCGAGCAACGCCGCGUGAGUGAAGAAGGUUUUCGGAUCGUAAAACUCUGUUGGUAGAGAAGAACGUUGGUGAGAGUGGAAAGCUCAUCAAGUGACGGUAACUACCCAGAAAGGGACGGCUAACUACGUG